rnacentral:rRNA from 1 species
UGCAAGUCGAACGGUAACAGGAUGUGCUUGCACAUCGCUGACGAGUGGCGGACGGGUGAGUAAUGCUUGGGAACUUGCCUUUGCGAGGGGGAUAACAGUUGGAAACGGCUGCUAAUACCGCAUAAUGUCUUCGGACCAAACGGGGCUUCUGCUCCGGCGCAAAGAGAGGCCCAAGUGAGAUUAGCUAGUUGGUAAGGUAACGGCUUACCAAGGCGACGAUCUCUAGCUGUUCUGAGAGGAAGAUCAGCCACACUGGGACUGAGACACGGCCCAGACUCCUACGGGAGGCAGCAGUGGGGAAUAUUGCACAAUGGGGGAAACCCUGAUGCAGCCAUGCCGCGUGUGUGAAGAAGGCCUUCGGGUUGUAAAGCACUUUCAGUUGUGAGGAAAAGUUAGUAGUUAAUACCUGCUAGCCGUGACGUUAACAACAGAAGAAGCACCGGCUAACUCCGUGCCAGCAGCCGCGGUAAUACGGAGGGUGCGAGCGUUAAUCGGAAUUACUGGGCGUAAAGCGCACGCAGGCGGUUUGUUAAGCUAGAUGUGAAAGCCCCGGGCUCAACCUGGGAUGGUCAUUUAGAACUGGCAGACUAGAGUCUUGGAGAGGGGAGUGGAAUUCCAGGUGUAGCGGUGAAAUGCGUAGAUAUCUGGAGGAACAUCAGUGGCGAAGGCGACUCCCUGGCCAAAGACUGACGCUCAUGUGCGAAAGUGUGGGUAGCGAACAGGAUUAGAUACCCUGGUAGUCCACACCGUAAACGCUGUCUACUAGCUGUGUGUGCCUUUAAGGCGUGCGUAGCGAAGCUAACGCGCUAAGUAGACCGCCUGGGGAGUACGGCCGCAAGGUUAAAACUCAAAUGAAUUGACGGGGGCCCGCACAAGCGGUGGAGCAUGUGGUUUAAUUCGAUGCAACGCGAAGAACCUUACCUACACUUGACAUGCUGAGAAGUUACUAGAGAUAGUUUCGUGCCUUCGGGAACUCAGACACAGG